GUCUAUGGCCAUAACACCCUGAAUACGCCUGAUUUCAGAAGCAAAGCAGGGUCGGGCCUGGUUAGUACUUGGAUGGGAAAAGAGCCCAUGUACUUCAUCCA
rnacentral:rRNA from 1 species